UACGAAGGGGGCUAGCGUUGUUCGGAAUUACUGGGCGUAAAGCGCGUGUAGGCGGGUCUUUAAGUCAGGGGUGAAAUGCCAAGGCUCAACCUUGGAACUGCCUUUGAUACUGGAGACCUUGAGUCCGGGAGAGGUGAGUGGAAUUGCGAGUGUAGAGGUGAAAUUCGUAGAUAUUCGCAAGAACACCAGUGGCGAAGGCGGCUCACUGGCCCGGAACUGACGCUGAGAUG
rnacentral:rRNA from 1 species